UCGAAAACUACCGUUAGCAUUAGCUUCUUGUUCACUGCUAAUAAACAAAAGAAGAAGCAGCAGCUAAUCUUAGAACUUCGACAGUGUUUCAUGUGUGAGAAACCGUUAAUGCCUGCUGAGAACUGAAGGUAACCACACCGAACCAGGGCCACCGGAUCCAGCAUCUUCACCUCCAAAAUCCUCUUGAUCAGCCACCUGGACAGCUGCUGCAAAAAAUCAAUCAGCAAAAAAAAAAGGCUCACCUCUCAAUCCGUGUGGAAGUGAGCAAUCUCCCUCUUGCAGCGAAAGGCCACCCAUCACAUGGUUGGGCUCAAGUGGACAGCGCCAAGGAGCCUGUUUCCGUUUGAGAUGCUAUUAAUAAGAAUCGGUAAGCGGUAAGAGAGGAUUUAAGUUGAAGCAGGAAAUCACAACAUCAGGAGACGACUACAAGAAGCCCUCGCUACAGCAGGUUAUUAUAACAAGGUAAAAACCAAGCAGAUAUAUUCAAAAGUAUCAGUGGCAUCACGUGGCCUACAGUACUACGGGACAUUCACAUGUCAACAAAGGUGGCACGCUGAUAAAAUUAAGUUGAAUAAGUGCUAAGGGGUGAUAAUGGAAAAAUCAGUUUAUACGUCUAUUGUUUAAAAGAACUUCCUGUAUAUCUUGUGAACUGAUGGACCGCAGUGCCAUUUUUUAUGAGGUACAUUCAUAAAAACAUCAGCCCUCUGGCCUAAUAAGUUCAAGUAGAAGCCAUUUUUUUUUUUAUGUGUGAACAAGGUACCCAAAGCGUGUCUCCGUAUGGAGCUAAAUUUCCCUCAAUAAAGCCCCUUUCGACACCGUUUCAUUUCCAUUUGGUCUUUUUGAGAGAUUGAUAUUCAUUUUAAGUAACAGUGGGCUCGUCCUUACUAACAGACACAGCAGCAGCAGCAGCGAAUAACUUUUUAAAGACUUGUAGAAACGCAAAAAAAAAGGUAUGUAAAUGCACAGAUUACAUACAAAAAUGCAAAACAACACCAACAAAAGUCCAGUCCAGAUAUUUCAAAAUCAGCCAAGAGGUAAAACAUUGUUUAAAAAAAGUAAGAAAAAUAGUGACAAAAGAAAAGAAAGUAAUUAUACAGUAAAGUGCAAGUAAAAAAUAUAUCUUUCUACAUGAGAAGACUCAAGACAAAGCCAUGAGGGGUAAUGGUCUUUUUGUGGAAAAGUGCAAGUUUUGGAGACACUCAUCUUCGCCGUAAGAAAACACCCACCGCCUCCAAGGGCACGGGGUAGUCCUGUAGGAACGUCCCUCCAUCGAACACUUUAGCGUUCUGGCUGUCUUGCCACUGGAAGCCCCCGUCAGGUAAAUAAAUGUCCCUCCUCACUGCUCCCUUCUCCACCACCGGUGCCACCAGAACCUAAAAACAGACAAACCCAAUCACACACACACACCGAAAGCUCGCAAAACAACAAUCCCCCCACUAUGACGUCACCUCGUCUCCAAUGAGGAACUGGUCAUCGAUAGUGAAGGUUAUGGGGUCAUCGGGACUGAGCCACCACAUAGGCCGGUAGAUGGGACUUCCUGU